rnacentral:ncRNA from 284 species
UCCGUAGGUGAACCUGCGGAAGGAUCAUUG